rnacentral:rRNA from 1 species
AGUGAACGCUGGCGGUAGGCCUAACACAUGCAAGUCGAACGGCAGCACAGGAGAGCUUGCUCUCUGGGUGGCGAGUGGCGGACGGGUGAGGAAUACAUCGGAGUCUACUCUGUCGUGGGGGAUAACGUAGGGAAACUUACGCUAAUACCGCAUACGACCUACGGGUGAAAGCAGGGGAUCUUCGUACCUUGCGCGAUUGAAUGAGCCGAUGUCGGAUUAGCUAGUUGGCGGGGUAAAGGCCCACCAAGGCGACGAUGCGUAGCUGGUCUGAGAGUAAGAUGAGUCACACUGGAGCUGAGACACGGGCCGGAGUCGUAAGGGGGGGAGCAGUGGGGAAUAUUGGACAAUGGGGGCAAGCGUGAUGCAGCCAUACGGCGGGGGUGAAGAAGGCGUUCGGGUUGUAAAGACCUUUUGUUGGGAAAGAAAUCCAGCUGGCUAAUACCCGGUUGGGGUGAGGGUAACCAAAGAAUAAGCACCGGCUAACUUCGUGCCAGCCGCCGCCGUAA